AACGGGGAGGAGCCCAGAGCCUGAAUCAGCAUGUGUGUUAGUGGAAGCGUCUGGAAAGUCGCGCGAUACAGGGUGACAGCCCCGUACACAAAAGCGCAUGUGCUGUGAGCUCGAUGAGUAGGGCGGGACACGUGGUAUCCUGUCUGAAUAUGGGGGGACCAUCCUCCAAGGCUAAAUACUCCUGACUGACCGAUAGUGAACCAGUACCGUGAGGGAAAGGCGAAAAGAACCCCGGCGAGGGGAGUGAAAAAGAACCUGAAACCGUGUACGUACAAGCAGUGGGAGCACAGGUUUACCUGUGUGACUGCGUACCUUUUGUAUAAUGGGUCAGCGACUUAUAUUCUGUAGCAAGGUUAACCGUAUAGGGGAGCCGGAGGGAAACCGAGUCUUAACCGGGCGUUAAGUUGCAGGGUAUAGACCCGAAACCCGGUGAUCUAGCCAUGGGCAGGUUGAAGGUUGGGUAACACUAACUGGAGGACCGAACCGACUAAUGUUGAAAAAUUAGCGGAUGACCUGUGGCUGGGGGUGAAAGGCCAAUCAAACCGGGAGAUAGCUGGUUCUCCCCGAAAGCUAUUUAGGUAGCGCCUCGUGAAUUCAUCUCCGGGGGUAGAGCACUGUUUCGGCUAGGGGGCCAUCCCGGCUUACCAACCCGAUGCAAACUGCGAAUACCGGAGAAUGUUAUCACGGGAGACACACGGCGGGUGCUAACGUCCGUCGUGAAGAGGGAAACAACCCAGACCGCCAGCUAAGGUCCCAAAGUCAUGGUUAAGUGGGAAACGAUGUGGGAAGGCCCAGACAGCCAGGAUGUUGGCUUAGAAGCAGCCAUCAUUUAAAGAAAGCGUAAUAGCUCACUGGUCGAGUCGGCCUGCGCGGAAGAUGUAACGGGGCUAAACCAU
rnacentral:rRNA from 1 species